rnacentral:rRNA from 1 species
GACGAACGCUGGCGGCGUGCUUAACACAUGCAAGUCGAACGGGCCCGCCCCUGUUUUUGGGGGUGGGUUGAGUGGCGAACGGGUGAGUAUCACGUGAGUAACCUGCCCCCUGCUCCUGGAUAACUGCUUGAAAGGGCGGCUAAUACGGGGUGUGCCGGCUGGUCCGCAUGGGCCUGGUCGGGAUAGUUUCAUCUUCGGGUGUUUCGGUGGGGGAUGGGCUCGCGGCCUAUCAGCUUGUUGGUGGGGUGAUGGCCCACCAAGGCGGUGACGGGUAGCCGGCCUGAGAGGGUGGGCGGCCACCCUGGGACUGAGACACGGCCCAGACUCCUGCGGGGGGCAGCAGUGGGGGGUAUUGCACAAUGGGCGGAAGCCUGAUGCAGCGACGUCGCGUGAGGGAUGGAGGCCUUCGGGUUGUGAACCUCUUUCUCCGGUGGUGAAGGCCCUGUCCGUUGCGGCGGGGUUGACGGUAGCCGGGUAUGAAGCGCCGGCUAACUACGUG